UACGAGGGGGCGAGCGUUGUUCGGAAUUAUUGGGCGUAAAGGGUGCGUAGGCGGUUUGGUAAGUCUGAUGUGAAAUCUAUGGGCUCAACUCAUAGUCUGCAUCGGAAACUGCCGGGCUUGAGUAUGGGAGAGGUGAGUGGAAUUCCUGGUGUAGCGGUGAAAUGCGUAGAUAUCAGGAGGAACACCAAUAGCGAAGGCAGCUCGCUGGGACGUUACUGACACUGAGGCGCGAAAGCGUGGGGAGCGAACAGG
rnacentral:rRNA from 1 species